rnacentral:rRNA from 1 species
UACGAAGGGGGCUAGCGUUGCUCGGAAUCACUGGGCGUAAAGCGCACGUAGGCGGCUUUCUAAGUCAGGGGUGAAAUCCUGGAGCUCAACUCCAGAACUGCCUUUGAUACUGGCGGUCUCGAGUCCGGGAGAGGUGAGUGGAACUGCGAGUGUAGAGGUGAAAUUCGUAGAUAUUCGCAAGAACACCAGUGGCGAAGGCGGCUCACUGGCCCGGUACUGACGCUGAGGUGCGAAAGCGUGGGGAGCAAACAGG